AUAUAUAUAUAUAUUUUUUUUUCUGAAAGAGUGGAAACAUUAACUGCAGUUUCAUGAUCCAUGCCACAUGGUGGAGACCUCUUUCAGACUUUCAUUUGGUUUCUACCAUAUAGUGUCAUUUCAACCUCUUCUCAGUAAAGCUUUAGUUGCUGAGAAGAUGGGUGCGUAUAAUCAAAAUUAAUUGUUUUCUGUGCUAAUAUCAUGUUUCCUUUGUUAAUAGGUAUUGCUCUUCAU
rnacentral:misc_RNA from 1 species